rnacentral:rRNA from 1 species
AGUGAACGCUGGCGGUAGGCCUAACACAUGCAAGUCGAACGGCAGCACAGUAAGAGCUUGCUCUUACGGGUGGCGAGUGGCGGGCGGGUGAGGAAUACAUUGGAAUCUACUUUUUCGUGGGGGAUAAAGUAGGGAAACUUACGCUAAUACCGCACACGACCUACGGGUGAAAGCAGGGGAUCUUCGGAUCUUGCGCGAUUGAAUGAGCCGAUGUCGGAUUAGCUAGUUGGCGGGGUAAAGGCCCACCAAGGCGACGAUCCGUAGCUGGUCUGAGAGGCUGAUCAGCCACACUGGAACUGAACCGCGGUCCAGACUCCUACGGGAGGCAGCAGUGGGGAAUAUUGGACGAUGGGCGCAAGCCUGAUCCAGCCAUACCGCGUGGGUGAAGAAGGCCUUCGGGUUGUAAAGCCCUUUUGUUGGGAAAGAAAAGCAGCAGGUUAAUACCCCGCUGUUCUGACGGUACCCAAAGAAUAAGCACCGGCUAACUUCGUG